CAAAGCUGGACAUGGUUGCUGACAUUUCCCUGCUGAUCCUUUCCUCUCUCCCUACUCUCAAGAAAAUACAAGAAAAGUCUGACCUUGAUAGCAGCUGUCAGGCACAGACACCCUGCUACACUGAGCUCUGGAGACUUUCCCUACAGCAGGCCGAGGCUGGGGGAGCUGAGGAGGUGGUGGGACCAGGAAUCCCAUGGAGAAAGGCUGUGCGACAUGACCAGCCCCCAGGAUGGAUGCAGACAACCCAAAGCCCUGAGCGCCUUUGUGUCAAGCCAAGUUCAAGGUCCUUCCAGACAGUGGGAAGCAUCCCCUGGAACCAACGCAAACAGUGACUGUGUUACAGAGAAAACGAGCGGCUGAAAGAUGUCACCAGAGGAGAAGCAUGAAGAACGUUUCUUCUCCUCCUGCUCUUUAUUCUUUCUUCUUGACACAAUGUCAGGAACUGCUUUUCUCUUUUCCUCCCCACUUCCUCACACGGCGUCUUCACAGCCAGCCUUUGGCAAAGGCGUUUUGGUGGCCAUCUAUUAAUUCUGCUGUGGCCUUUAGUAAUGUCAUCUUGGCUCAAAUGCUUUCUUGAAAUACAGGGCUGCAGAUUUCUCCAAACACACUUGGCAUGUUAUAUGGUGCCGGAGCAAUGCUAACUCCCUUAGAACAUAGAUGAAGCAAACAGUGCUAAUUUAUGCCUUGCUUUUUUAUUCCCAACAUAAUUUUGAUUUUAAUGUCCUAUCCUCACCACAUCAAUAUCUUUCUCACUGCUGGCAUGUUAGAACAAAAAGUAAAUAUUUCAUCUUCCUUUCCUUCACAAAGAUGCUCACCCACAGCAUCUGGGACAAUGCAAAUGAGACGUGACU
rnacentral:lncRNA from 1 species